GUCAGGUAUUCCACCCAUCUACUUCUGGCUCGAUUUGGUGGAGGCCUGGUGGUUUAGGGAGGUUAUAGGCUACGAGGUUGAUGUUGUUCUUGGAAUAAGCAAUUCUAGUUUUACUAGAAUAUUUGAAUACUGUUUUUCCUUUAUUUGCAAUCUAGUACAUGUUAAAAUUCCUAAACAAGUAUAACAGUUAGAAGUUGUUUGAAGCUUAACAAAUUGUACAGGUGAACUAAAAACUUUGUUGUUUGAAAGAUAAUAAAUGAUUUAUGCAUGCAACCAAAUUCAUUGAACUUAAGGCAUGAAAAUGUUUUUGAAUUUUUAUCUUGGUGGGAAAGAGAACUCCGCCUAAGUAGUUUGUGGU
rnacentral:misc_RNA from 1 species